rnacentral:rRNA from 1 species
UACGUAGGGGGCGAGCGUUAUCCGGAAUUACUGGGCGUAAAGCGCACGCAGGCGGUUCGCCAAGUUUGGAGUGACAGUUGUCGGCUCAACCGGCAAAGGACUUCAAAAACUGGUGAACUUGGGGACGAGAGAGGAACAUGGAACUCCAGGUGUAGUAGUGAAAUGCGUAGAUAUCUGGAAGAACACCAAUGGCGAAGGCAAUGUUCUGGCUCGUUUCUGACGCUCAGGUGCGAAAGCCAGGGGAGCGAACGGG